GGACUACCUCUCCUACAUCUGGUACAAAAAUGGAGAGGAAAUUGAGGAUGAAACAUCUUUUUUAUAUUAUUCAGAGGACUAUGGAUCUGCAAACAACUUUUCCUGUGCUUUAAAAGGAGAGGAGGAUUUCCCUUCUCCUCCAGUCUGUAAGUUUACUUCAAAAUCUGCUGCAAACUAAAUAUCACACUCAGGGGAAGCUUUACAUAAGCAUGAGGGGUGAAGACAGAAAUUUUAAUAAAGUUAUUAGUGCAAUAAUUUGAUAAGAGCUUUUAAAUGUUGAGCCAUAAAGGUAUAUAUACAAUUGAAAUUAACUAAAUAUAUAAUUCUAAUUGAAUUGCAAUGAUGAAUGUUCAUUUACAACCAUUUUUCCCAAAGGCUAGACGAUGACAACCUCAAAUACAUAAUCUGUUGAAAAAACUCAGAAUAAUAUAUGUUGAUGAUGAUGGGACACAAUUGUUUUGGUUGGACAUUGAAAAUGUACCGUAUUUUGACUAAAAACAGCAAUAAGAGUUUUCUGUAUCCAACAGUAACUGCAUGAAGGGCUUCUUAUAAUAACUUCCUUCUCCUCAUGUAUUUUAAUGUCUUUUAUUGAUUCCUAAUGUUCUCUGUGUUAUAGUGAUUCCAGAUCAGGAAUUGAGGGCAGUGAAUUGCCUCCAUGCUGAAGUCUGUGG